GUCUUGGCCCCUAAAAUCCUGACAAACUUGUAUAGAUGCACAGUUGAGAGCAUCCUUUCGGGAUGUAUCAUCGCCUGGUAUGGCAACUGCAAUGCGCAACCGCAGUGCUCUCCAGAGUGGUGUGGUCUGCCCAACAAAUCACCGGUGGCAACUACCUGCCUUCCAGGACAUCUACAGCACCCGAUGUCACAGGGAAGCCAAAAAGAUCUUCAAGGACAUCAACCACCCAAACCACGGCCUGUUCACUGUUAUCCAGAAGGCGAGGUGAAGCUUGAGGAAAUAGGCUAUCGCCUGGCACUAGUGAAACACUUCUGUAGGACACAUCCAUCUGGCAUUUGUUUCGAGGAUUGCUUUAGAGAAUAAGGAAAAGCUUCAAAUUCAAGAUGGAGUACACAUCCAAGAAUGGGGUAUUGGCAUUUGGCAUACUGCUUAAAAAAAAAAACAGUAGUGAAUUGUGCAUUUGAUUGUUGUUGUGUGUCUGUUUACUGACUCCGCUUGUUGACCAAAUUUGAGAGUGAUACCACAGCACCCUCAUAUCAGGCUCAGCAGAAGUCAAGACAAAGGUAGACUCAUGCUCCAGGAAUACAAGUGAAAAACCCUUCAAUGUAAAAUCAAGAGAAGUGAGAAUAUAAAAGAACCUCAGAAAAUUGCUGACGAGCGGGUAGGAAAAAUACAGGUCUUGUCAUUUUUG
ensembl:lncRNA